rnacentral:lncRNA from 1 species
GUGGAGGGUGGGGACAUUCACCACCGAGUAUUGCUGCUUCUUAGGACAAGGACACCCAAAUGUGAUUAAUCGGCUGGCAUUCAGGAAAGAGCUUCUCAUUUUACAAGCUUGUAUUGAAACCCAGAAGCAAACUUUUGCACCAAAAUUAUGUCACUAGUCACAAAUUAAACGACUGCCCCAAAGUGCAAAGUUUUUGAAGUCUGUAGUGUGCCCCUCCUGAGAACAAGCAGAAACAGAGUGAUCAUGUUCCAAGAAUCUAUAUGAGCCACAAAUAACAUCAUUCCCUUUUUUUCCUCUGGAUAUGGGAAAUCAAAAGCCAUCGUGCUCACUGAUUUUUAUUGAUACUAGCUCAGAAAUGGCAGGGUAAUAACUCACAGCGAGGGUGGCCACUAGGUGCAAUCAUCCUUUCCUUCAUUGUGGACUUGGAGGAUACAAUUUUAUUAUCUCUAGGACUUUGAAGAAAUGAGAAAACUCCAUUAUGCAUUUCUUGAAGCCUUCUCCAUUUAAGUGUGAGCUGAACUUCAUCUGAUCCAGUGUUGGUCACCUCACUGGUGGAACAGAACACCAUCUGCCUCAGAUUUUCCCAAAGGGAGGUGCAGAAUGUGCUUUUUUUGACAACAGACAGAAACCAAGAUCCAGUAAAAGACAGCGCCUGUGCCUGGCAUGGGGAGAAAAGGAGCCAGCUGUUUGGGCAAGGAACAGGUAGAGAGAAAGGGAAGUCUCAGUUUAGGA